UACGUAGGGUGCAAGCGUUGUCCGGAAUUAUUGGGCGUAAAGAGCUCGUAGGCGGUCUGUCGCGUCGGCUGUGAAAACCCGGAGCUCAACUCCGGGCCUGCAGUCGAUACGGGCAGACUGGAGUUCGGCAGGGGAGACUGGAAUUCCUGGUGUAGCGGUGAAAUGCGCAGAUAUCAGGAGGAACACCGGUGGCGAAGACGGGUCUCUGGGCCGAUACUGACGCUGAGGAGCGAAAGCGUGGGGAGCGAACAGG
rnacentral:rRNA from 1 species